UACGUAGGGGGCAAGCGUUGUCCGGAUUUAUUGGGCGUAAAGAGCGUGUAGGCGGCCAUACAGGUCAGCUGUGAAAACUCGAGGCUCAACCUCGAGACGUCGGUUGAAACCGUAUGGCUAGAGUCCGGAAGAGGAGAGUGGAAUUCCCGGUGUAGCGGUGAAAUGCGCAGAUAUCGGGAAGAACACCCGUGGCGAAGGCGGCUCUCUGGGACGGUACUGACGCUGAGACGCGGAAAAGCGUGGGGGAGCGAACAGG
rnacentral:rRNA from 1 species